rnacentral:tmRNA from 1 species
GGGGGCGUUCCGGCUUCGACGUGAGCGGACAGCGUCCAGUGAGACGAGUCGAGUUUGCUGGAGACUCGUAAAACGCCGGCAACUAAACAUACUCGGCAACGAUAUGGAACUUCAGGCCGCUUAACCAUAAGCGCCUCAUCGGCCCGGGCAGCCUACGGCUCGGUAACCGGUGUCAUUUUAGUAGGAUCACCUUAAGAUCCCUGGCCCGGGGUUCGUAAGGGACAUUUAAUGGGCUAGCCCUCCCGCGGCGCCCCGGUUCGUGGGGUAGGGUGAAGCUAAACUGGGAGCAACGCUCGUACAAUCUCACGGACGGCGCGUUCGCGGACGCGGGUUCAAUUCCCGCCGCCUCCACUG